UGAGAUCUAAUAUCAGCCAUUAAAAGUUUAAAUAUUAUUAAAUCUUAACCACUCACUUUUUUUUCUCACACAUCACACCCACCUUUCCCGUCUCUCUCACUUUCCAUAAACUCCAUCUCCAACCUCUCCACCUUGUUCUUCCCCAACCUUCCGGCCACCACUUCCGAUCAACUCACCACACCUCGUCGCCGCCUAUCUCUCCCCGCAGCCCAACUCUCUCCGUUCUCCCUUAUCUCCCCGACGCCAAACUCAUCUGCUUCUCUUUCUCCACCCUAACACCAGAUUUGUUGUUUCAACACACUCCCUUGUCCCUCUUGCCCUCCGCCUCCCCGUAAAUCGCGAGCUCCGUCACAGGAGCAAAAUAAAGUUAGCUUGCGACGCAUUUGAUGUGUUAUGAAUGUACGCGUAGAUCGUGUACGACAUAGUCAACACAGUCGGCACCGUUGGUGGUGGUGGUUGUUUGUAGAUGGCGGUGGUGUGAUGAUUUUUGUUCUUACGGUGGCAUUUUUGUUUUCUGGUGGUGAUUUUUGUUUUUACAGAGGUGAUUUUAAUUUUCUGCAGUUGAUUUUUUAUUUUCCGGCGCUGAUUUUAUGUUUUCCAGUGGUGAUUUUAUGUUUGACGGUGAUUUUCUGGUGGUCGCCGGAGGUGGUGGUGCUGGUCAGCGGUGGUUGAAGGUGAUAGGUAGUUGAAUUUGAAGAUGAUGAAAUAUUAAAAUAUUAAAUGAAUGGUGAGAGAUGAAUACAAUGUAUUUAAAUGAGUGGUGGAUAUUAGAUCUCAUAUCCCACCAUAAAAUUGGUUCUUACUGGAACAUGACUCUAUAUAUAUAUAUGUUUCGGUUCUGUUAA